UUAACUUGGGAGUCAGAACAUGGGUGAUAAGGUCCGUGUUCGAAAGGGAAACAGCCCAGACCACCAGCUAAGGUCCCAAAAUAUAUGUUAAGUGGAAAAGGAUGUGGCGUUGCCCAGACAACUAGGAUGUUGGCUUAGAAGCAGCCAUCAUUUAAAGAGUGCGUAAUAGCUCACUAGUCGAGUGACACUGCGCCGAAAAUGUACCGGGGCUAAACAUAUUACCGAAGCUGUGGAUUGUCCUUUGGACAAUGGUAGGAGAGCGUUCUAAGGGCGUUGAAGCAUGAUCGCAAGGACAUGUGGAGCGCUUAGAAGUGAGAAUGCCGGUGUGAGUAGCGAAAGACGGGUGAGAAUCCCGUCCACCGAUUGACUAAGGUUUCCAGAGGAAGGCUCGUCCGCUCUGGGUUAGUCGGGUCCUAAGCUGAGGCCGACAGGCGUAGGCGAUGGAUAACAGGUUGAUAUUCCUGUACCACCUAUA
rnacentral:rRNA from 1 species